GUUCAACCGCAGCUGCCUCAACGACGCGCUGGCGGAGUGCGUCAUCAAGGCCUGAUCCAGAUGCAUGAUAUGUUAUGGCUAUCUAAAGAUAAUCGGGCUAUUGAAAGUUGGCCUGAUCAACAGCACGGACGACCUAUGUCAGGCCCAGACAUGAGCAGCAGUGGCUGAAGCUGAUGGCAAAUAAAGGACACGCUGGACUUACAUGGCGCCCGAGAUCCUGCUUGGCAUGGCCCAUGGUUGGACACUGCCUGCUGCAUCUUGUGCUCGUAGCUUUAUUGCAAUUAUGGUGGGAAGUGUGUAAGUCAUAUUCAGUGACAUUGCAAUUGGAUAUCUCCAAGGCCUUGGACCGUGUUAGUUGGGUUUUCCUUUUA